AGGAGUUAGAGCCUUUUUAGUGAAAUUAAAGAGUGCUGGUGCAUCAGGUCUGGUGUGGCACUUCUAGCGACCAGAUUAGCACCUUUAGCGACCAGAUUUGGGUCUUUAGUGACCAGAUUUGCUUAUUAAAAGCUGCUGCGUUUCUGCUCGUUCUUUUUACGUAUUUUCUUCGAAAUAACACGGUUUGGGGCAAUUUUUGAGCAAGAAAUCAUGAGAAAUCUUGAGGUAAGUCACUUGUGAUUAUUUCUACUCCAUAAUAUUGAAUUAUCAUCGAAUAAUCCGACUAGAUUACAUGUUUUUGAGGUGUAAAUGGGUGAUUUUGGACCUAGGGAUUUGAAAAAAAGAUUUGAAGAUUUGAGGGGUCAUUUGAACUCCGAUUUUGGUAAAUUUUAUUUGUACGGACUCGUGGCGAGACGAGGAAUCCGGUGAUGUGACUUUCGUAAUUUUUUGAGAAGUGAGCCCGGGGCUCGGGUUUUACCAACUUCGUGAUUUUUAGCGUUUUUUGAGUAUUUUCGAUUGGGUAUUGUUCCCUUAGCAUAUUGUGAUGUAUUCGCUCUGAUUUUGGUUAGAUUCGACGCGCGUGGAGGCCGAUUUGAGGGGCAAAGGCGUCACAAGCUAUAGAUUUCACCGGUUCGAGGUGAGUAAUGAUUUUAAAUGAUGCACUGAGGGUUUGAAAUCCCGGAUUGCACAACAUACUGCUAUGUUGAGAUGAGACACGCAUUAUAUGACGAGCGCGGGG
rnacentral:lncRNA from 1 species